GAGAACCUUGGAUAACUGAUUGGUGGUUUCAUGUUUUCUAAAUUUCAGGUUUCUAAAUUGGCAUAACAGACAGACUUUAAUGAGAAAUCAUGUCCUUUCAAGAAAAAGACAAGGACUAUACAGUCAACAAGGUUUCUUGUUUUCUAACCGGUGGCUGCUAUCCUUGAAGCUUGAAUCUCCCUUUUUACUUCCUUGCACAGGCCCUCUUGAUUUGAGGGUAAUCCUUCGCUACUUGUCAAUUUGUCAUGGA